rnacentral:rRNA from 1 species
GACGAACGCUGGCGGCGUGCCUAAUACAUGCAAGUCGAGCGGACGAAUCGAAAGCUUGCUUUUGAUUCGUUAGCGGCGGACGGGUGAGUAAAACGUGGGCAACAUGCGCUGUAGACGGGGAGACCACCGAGAAAUAGGUGCGAUUACCGGAUAACACGAAAUGUCGCAUGACGUUUCGUUGAAAGAAGGCGCAAGCUGCCGCUAAGGGAUGGGCCAGCGGCGCAUUGGCUAGUUGGUGGGGUAAUGGCUCACCAAGGCGACGAUGCGGAGCCGACCUGAGAGGGUGAUCGGCAAAACGGGACCUGAACCACGCCCCAGCCUCCUCCGGGAGGCGGCAGUAGGGAAUCUUCGGAAAUGGACGAAGGUCUGCCGGAGCACCGCCGCGUGAGCGAAGAAGCCCUUCGGGUCGUAAAGCUCUGUUGUUAGGGCAGAACGAGUACCGCAGUAACUGGCGUUACCGUGACGGUACCUAACGAGAAAGCCACGGCUAACUACGUG